rnacentral:rRNA from 1 species
GACAGAGGGUGCAAACGUUGUUCGGAAUUACUGGGCGUAAAGCGAGUGUAGGCGGUCUAAAAAGUCGGGUGUGAAAGCCCCGGGCUCAACCCGGGAAGUGCACUCGAAACUGCUAGGCUAGAGUAUCGGAGAGGUUGGUGGAAUUCUCGGUGUAGAGGUGAAAUUCGUAGAUAUUCGGAAGAACACCAGUGGCGAAGGCGACUAACUGGACAUGUAUUGACGCUGAGGUGCGAAAGCGUGGGGAGCAAACAGG